ensembl:lncRNA SERPINB9P1 serpin family B member 9 pseudogene 1
AUUGGUCAGCAGUGUGUCAGGUUGGAUGCUGUGGGCGCCUGGCCUCUGAAGGUCACUCGAGGCUCACUGUACAGCUGUCGCUUGCCAGGCAGCCCGAGAGAGUUCUGGCGAGGGCUGCGGGAAGGAAAGGGGGCGGCGUCCUUCACAGGGAGGGUGCAGCUGACCUCCCUCCCCUUGUGCAGACUGGAAAAGAAUGGCCCAGAUCCUCUGGACUCCUCAGAUGAGCGGAUUCAGAGAGAAGCUUUUGAGAGCGUGCUGGCGGAGACAUUUUUCACAAAAGAGCCCUUGCGGUGCUGGUGUCCGUGGCGUGCCUGGGUGGAAAAUGAGCUUAUAUAUGAAGAAGUCAGCGAGUGGACAAAGCCAGGCGCAAUGGAUAGCAAAGAUGUGGAAGUCUCCUCGAUUCAAGUUACAAGAAAACCGCAGCAUGGAGUCUGCUCUCAGCUGUUGGGGAAUUACCGAUGCCUUUGACUAAGUCAAGACUGACUUUUCCAGAAUAUCACCCAAGAGAUAGAGCCGUCCCUGUCCAAGUUUGUGCGCUAGCCCUUCAUGGAGGUCAGAGAGGAAGAAACAAAGGCAGCUGUGGCCUCGGCGGUCACAGUGUCAGAACGCACAAGCCCCAUAAAGAGGUUUCACGCAGGCCACCCAUCCCUUUUCAUUCUCCAGCAGAACAGGACAGAGAGCGUUCUGUUCUGCGGAAGGUCUUCCACUCUACAAGGCAAUCCCUCCAGCUGCUUUGCUGUAUUGUGCUGUCUCCUGUCACACUAUGAAUGCAGUGACCUCAGCCAGCAACAGGGAGAACCCCCCUGCCUCCCGAACAAAGGACCUCACGUGAAAUCCUGAGCUCAGAGCUUACAGAUAUGUGUGCGCUUUCACUUUACAUCGGCCGUGACUUCCAAACAACUUCAGGAAACUUUAGGAUCUCUGAGGUAUACUGGAGAUGACAGCAGCGUAGAAUGUUCAUUUGGAUUUAGAACAGAAAUGCUUAUUUUAUAUUUGGCUGCUCCCAAACUGUCCCCAGACUUCCUCUCCAGUGGUUACCCUCCACUGCCCUGGAUGUCCCACGUUUACACUCCACACUCACACCUCCACCUUAACAAAGUCCUCCACUGGGUCAAACCAUACAUCGCUUCGUCUCUGUAGUGAUGACUUCCUGUCCUCUGCUCUGUGGAUAAAGACCCCAGAUAAAGAUGCCUGUGUUGCUCAACUCUUGUAAAUACUCUUGAGACAUUUUGAAAGCAGAAGGAAAGGAGACAGACGGGGAAAAUAAAAGGGAUGGUCUGCUUGUGCGGAAACGUUUUGAGAAUGCCCUUCCCUAAGAGAGAACAGUAAAAGUGAGCAAUACUUCCUGAGCUGUGGGUUCAUAUGGCUGGACUGUGCUGUUUCUCACGGGAGAAGUUCUCGUCUCCCCUGCGUGUACAUCCCUGUUUGCCAGCCUGGCCUUCGGUGUGGUGAUAUCAUGGUGCACUCCCAGGAGGGAAGUGCUUGGUCAAGACUUCUGCUUGGGUUCGACUAUCAGUUCUGGUUUCCUUUAAGGCACAGGAUCUUCCCUUUAAGGCACAAACACCCCCUUGACACAAAGUAAGGGACAAGGGAACUUUAAACCAUUUGGAAACCCAAGCACAAUAGGCUGUAGGUUGUAAAAAGAAAUUACAAAGGUAAUUUUAUCCAGAAGAGGGAGCAGUUUAACUUCUGCAGGGUAAGAUUCAGAUUCACUUUUGUAACUGAACAGGGAAUUUUCUAAAUAUUUUGAAAAUGCCGAAACAUUUCCUGUUGGCAUUUCACAGAAACGUUCAAAGUUCCCUAA